AAAGAACAACCAGAACUUUGAAAACAGAAGCGAGCUGACAGCACUUACAGCUUCCCCUUAACAUCAUAAUUUGCCCAUGAAAUUACAUUGUGGAGAGUUAAAAAGCAGUACCACAGAAGUGAAUGUUGCAGGCUCUAAGUCCGUGAUGACUUCCACGGUAUGUGUUAGAAUGUGUUGGAAUGAGCAGGAGUUGUACAGUAAGGGUUCUCUGGAGCAGUGGGAACAGCUGCAAGGAAGAAGGUCCUUAUUCCUCACACCCUCAGAAAAGGAGUGUAUGGCUUAUGGGCAGCCAAAGGCAUCUCUGAGUGAACUCAGGAGUAAGCGUGGGAGCCUGAGGAUAGUGCAAUUGCUGAACGGCUAUGAAGAAAAGAGCAUGGGGCUACUGGAGUUGAAUGAUGAGGCGCGGUUACUAUGUUGUGGCAUUAAACUUUGUUCACUCGUCCCCAGUGCUCCAUGCUGGCAGGGAAGUCGAGAGCAGCCGGGGAAGAGGCAGAGAGGUCCCAGGCUGCUUACUCAGCGGGUGCCACAGCAGCCCCCACCAGGAGUAUCACCUGCAGCUCAAGCACUCCUGCUUCCUAGAACUCAGCUGAAUGCAUGACAUUCAAUUCAGGCUGUGGGAGUGUGAGAAAGGGUGCCGGUUCUGCGUGUGAGACAAGUUUUCUAAACAUGCUUGGCCCAGGUGUACCUCCUGCUGAAGUCAAUGGGGCUAGAGGGCAGAAUUGGCCUUCUGACUGCACAUUAAGAUAUGCUUGAAAUAUGUAGCCCAACAGGCCGAGACUCUGCAACAGGUGACUGCGGAAGGGAGAAGAGCUCUUGUGUGGAAGCAUUAAUGCAAGGAUCUGGGCUUUAACUUGAAUAAAUCACUAAAAUAUCAACUGAAGAGAAACCAGCAGCAAAUAAAAUAAAACAACAACAAUAAUAAUAAUAAAUUAAAAAUGAGCAGAGGAAAUGGCUUGUGUGUUUGCAAGUGCGGGGCUUCAGUGAAGAAUAUCAAUAUAAACUCACUUGCAGCCUAAUCCAUAUUUAGGCACCUAAAAAUGGGCCUGAUUUUCAGAGGGGCUGAGCACCCAAAAAUCCUGCUGAAGCAGUGGACGCUCAGAACCUUUGAAAAUCAGGCUGCUCUCAUUUAAGGCCACAAUUCAGCAAAGCACUUACCCAUGUGUUUAUGUACAUACCUAUUCAGCAAAGCAUAAUAGCUGAACCUGCUUAACCCUAAGCACAUGCUUCAAUCUAAUUUAUUAAAAUUAGGCACAUGUUUAAGGACCCCACUGAAUCAGGGCCUAAGUGAUUUGUCCAAGGUCACACAGGGAGUCUGAGGAAAAGCCAGGGAUAGAACCCUGUUCUCUUGACUCUUAGUUUUCCAUCUUAACCACAAGACCAUAAUAAUCCUUAUUUCUCAGAGUCCUAAACAUCUUCAAAUGAGUAAUGAAAUCAUGUUUUGUUUUGUUUUUUUCUUUAACUCCCUGUAUUUUCAUUCCCAAAUGAGAAGAAACUGCAGCGUUAUUUAUCAUCAUUGUCUUUCUUUAACAGGGAGGAAACCUUUUCGCACACUGCCGUCAGUCAAUAAGUGACAAAAGAGGCAGAAGUGACUUAAGUACAGGGACGGUUUUCCCGAAUGAAACCAUCUUGGCUACUGUAUAAUUUCUCUCACAGGUAUGAUAAAACUUUCAACAAGACUAACUAUUGUAGAGAAAGGUUAAUGACUGAGUAACUGGUCUUUACUAAUUCCCUCUCCAUCUGUCAGUGACUUGGUAUGAAAUUACAGUCUGUUUAAAACCUUACUUGUUUACCUAAAGUUCUAUCAAGGGACACUUUUCUGUAACCUUAUCAUGCAACUUGCCCUGUUUAAGACCUAGGGAUGCCAAAGCCUCCUGGAUUACUUGGAUCCAGAUCUGACAACAUUGCUCAAAUGUUUAGCUCACCUUGAGAAGAAAACAGCCAAGAAAAGUUCUGCCUGUCUUAAAUUUGAUCUCUUUCUCACAUUUCUAAGUGCCCUUCACUGUACUAUUUAGGCUCAUUUAAAUGCCAUGCUAAUGAAAGUCUGUCAAUCUAUUUGCAGCUGCUCUUUCAUAGGACAGGUCUGAUUUUUAGAAGCCACGGUAGAGAAAGGGUAGAGAUUGUUUUGACACUACUAAACAAACAGGAAGGAAGGCAGGAAUAGAGUAACAUUACUACUUAUUAGUGUUCUUCUAUUAGAGCUGGAUUGGAUAAGCAAAAAUGAAUCAUUAAGAUGGAUAAAAGAAACUGUAAUUUACAAAACAAAAAGGUGCUACAAACAUAAAUCCUCAAAUCUCCCUAAUUUAAGGAUUUAAACAUAAAGAUCUUGCAAAAUUACUAGUUUUUGCACCAUGUGCUCUCAUUGAAUGGCUGCCCUUCAAGUCUAUUUGGAGAUACUAGAUCCUGACGCUUGUGUAAUGUUAUCUCUUUGUUAGGAAGGAAGCAAAUAUAAUAGUUUCUAUUGCAGAAUUCAGAAACAGUGCCCUAGGCUCCCUACUGAGAUUCAGAAAGGUCAGAAGGAAAAACUAGUGAUUUCUGUGGGGCUGAUUACAUAACUGAUCACAUGGACUUCUGUUAAUCUUCUCUAGAAGUAACCACUGAAAUUACCCAUAGCUCAUGCUUGGCCCAAAUCCAUCAAGACUUCCAAAAAUUGAUACUUGAACCCCAUGUUAUACACACAAGCCACAAUAAAACACACACUAUUGUCCCUGAAGCUUAGGAAUUCAUUCCAAACACUAUCUCUCUAGCCUGAAUAAAGCCGCCUGCUGCAUAUUAUUAUGCAGUUCAUCAAUACAAGCAAAAACUAAUGCAGUGAAAGGAAGUGUAUAUAAAUAACUUGUAAAGUUAGAAUACUACACAGAUAAUGUGCUCCUGGAUACUCCAUGUCGCACACUUAUGAACUUAGCAAGAUUCUCUGAGUUUCCAGAAAUGUGGGAACCCUCCAUCUUAGCAUGUGAGGGUACUACAGUGAGCCUCAGUGGGCAAGAAAGAGAGUAUAAGUGCAUCAACAGUUAUUUUGUUUUGAUUUACACUCCUGGCAGGCAAAUUAACUCUCGCCAUAAACACAGCGACCUCACAUUUUUGAGAAGAGAAGGGAAAGCAAAUAUACAGUUCAUGUACGACAGCACCAUUUUUUUCUCUGUGGUGAAGGCUGAAAUCAUCAGGCAUCUUGCCUGAAGGAAGGAAGAUGUUAUUGCCCAUGCAGCCCCUUAGAGGACACACUGGGUGGAAUCAUAUUUUAGUAUAAUGUGGCACGAUGAUACCAUGACUAUUGGUGACAAAUAUGUGUCAAUCACAGUCAUCUCUCAAGUGUUGUUACUGAUAAGGCAAUCUUCUUGGUUAGGGAACACAUGCGCUCUACAUCGGUUAGUCUUAAAGGUGCCACAGGACUCUCUGUUGCUUUUUACAUGCUCUCUGCAGUGUAAGUAUAUUGCAACAGCUACUACAAAUUGAAAUGGAAGUGCUGUGUUCCCAGUAAAAUGAGCUGUAUCCCAAUCAUUAAACUGUACACUGUGCAUAGGUACAUGUUCUUGACAUUCAUAGUUGGAGUAAAGGAGCUGGCCACAGACACGCUAUUUUGAACUUGAUGGCAAAGCUGUUUAAAUAACUAAGUUCAAGAUGGGUUAAGCUCUCCUGACCUUUUUUGGUACUAAGAAGCAUCUUGCCUAAAGCCCUCUUUCCUCACUUUGGUGGCACAGGCUCAAAGCCAUUGCUGUUGGAGAAGGAAAGAAGAAAAUGGUGUGUAGAGUUCUUUCUGCUGCUAAUACUGCCUCCUCCCCUUCACAAGAUGGACAAUUUGGAGGUGUUCUAAAAAUAGAAUUCUGUUCUCUGGCUGAACAAUCCUGAGUUCUCAGCUAACAAAGGCAAUGAUUGCCAACCAUGAAUGAAUGUCACCAAUUUACUUCUGACAUCAUGGUCCUCAAGGAUACAGAAUGGAAAAAGGAUUCUGCAAUCGGUACACCUUCCAAAAUCAAGGUUUGAGCACGAGUAUAAGCUUUCAGUGCCUUAGUGUCAUCUAACACACUGAUGAGGGUGUUUGGGAUUUUUGUAAGCAACUUUAAUUAUAAAAGGUAGCUUAACAAGGCCUGUGGUCUCUUCUGGAACUGCAGAGACAGAAGACUAGAGAGUGGCUGAUGGACUACAAGGUGCCACACCCUUCUCCUUCACUUUGGUCAAUUUCUUUCCCUUUACAGCUUUUGAAGAUGCACCAAUUGGGAUUCUGGUCACGAGCCAGCGUACUGGCAGGAAGAUGUCAUUUACUGAUGCUGAAUCUCAACUAAAAACCAACUUUGUACAUUCUUUCUCUCUAGACACAAAGCAGAAGCUGGUGAUUGCUUCCAAGUCCAUGUGAAGGGGCAUGGAUUUAUGCAAGUGGCUAACUUUUCUUAGCCGGAAUACAUUAGCUCCUAGGCUAUGCACAACAAUAUGUUAAUAUAACCCCCCGAAAAAUACAACAUCAGUUAACAACGAAUGCAUCAUUUAAAGCUUCUGCUGCAAAUAAAUAACUAAGUCUACUUAUGUGCCAUAAGCUGAAUAGUGGAUUUCACUAUUUAUUGCAAGUUAUAGUCAAAUAAUGUUUACCCAUGUGGGGAACAAAGGAUGAUGCUGAAAUACAAAAAGAUGAAUGGAUGAUAUUAGUUUGUCUGCCUGAGUUAAGGAAAGAGGAAGAAAAUAUUACUUAGAAAUUGCCAUUCAUAGCACUUUUCAUCAUCAAAGUGGUUUACAAACCUUAAUCAGAUUCUCACAACACCCAUAUAAGGGAGAUCAGUAAGGAUUAUUAUUCACUUUGUACAGUUGGAGAAAAUGCAGCAGAGUGACUUGCCUAAAGCCACAGAGGGAGCCAUGAUCAGUGUCAAAGUUGAAACAAAAAUGUCUCUGGCUCCCAGUCCUCUGCUCAGACCAUACUUCUCUGUUUUCCAUCACAUCCAUUCCAGCUGCACUAGACAUAGCAUGCUGAAAGUGUCCUUAUAUCCUGGUUUUGCUAGGCUACUCUCAGUUUUUCAUAUCAUGUCCCAGAAAAUUCUUUGAGGACAUUUAAAAUGUUCAUAUUUUUCAUUUCAUCAAUCAAAACUUUUUUUUAAAAUAACUACACGUUCAUUCAAGUCAUUCUGCUGUGCCAAGUAGAAUUUGCUCUGCAGUUACCAGGAACAGCCCAGUGGAAUGAAUGUUCUGUGGGAUAAACAGUGUUUAGAGUGAUCAGUGGAAGGAGCAUAGACACUAUCAAAACUGUUCUUUUUGUUCACCAUAAAUGCUAAUAACACUCAUUCAGUGUUUCAUACUAACCUCAUUCAGAACAUCUGAGUUGCUGGAAAAAUCCUCCAUGCUGAGAAAUAUCUAUCUGUCCCUAUUGAGACAAAAUUGGCAAAAGUGGCACCCACAAACUUUUUGUAAAAAAACUGUACUUUUGUUUUUUGAAUGACUAUUUUGCAAUUCUAAAAAACAUUGCCACAUUUUUUUAUUUUGGAAUUAUGAUCACCUUAAGCAUGGGACACUCAAGGAUUAUGGCCAGACCCAACAUAGAUUAUCCAGGAGCCUCUGGAGGCUUUCCUGACCUCAAUUUGGCCCUUGGCUUCUCUGAUCUUCAGUGCUGUCCCUGAGGCUUUCCUUGCCACACUACUCAUCUACUAAUACAGUAAAAAAUGGUUAUCAACCUGCUCUGUAACUAAUGUUCUUUGAGAUGUGUGGCACGUGUCCAUUCCAUUUCAGGUGUCUGUGCGCUCAGUGCACAGUUGUCAGAUUUAACCUGAGCUAUACCUGUAGGGGCGGCAUAUGCACACUCGCCUGUCUCACACCACAACACAAAGGUAUAAAGGGCAGAGCCACUUUCAUCCCCCAUAAGUUCUUUCUUAAUGGAAGACUCUGAUAGAGAGGGGAUGGAGAGUGGGUCAUGAAAUGGACAAGUGCAACACAUCUCGAAGAACAACAGUUACAGAACAGGAUAGUCACCAUUUUUAAUUCUUCAAAUGAUUGCACGUCUAUUCCAUUUCAGGUGACUCACAAGCAGUUCAAUCUGGAGGUCAGCGUCUACCUGAAUAAUGACUGAAGGACCACACAUCCAAAUCUGGCAUCAUCUCUGGUUUGCCCAGAGAUGGCAUAAUGGGAAGCAAACGUAUACACUGAAGACCAAGUUGCCAAUUUGCAAAUGUCCAAAAUACUCAGCUGGGCCAGAAAAGCCACAGAGACUGCGUGAGAUCUGGUCAAAUGCACUAGCACUCUAUUCAGUGGCAAUACAUCAGCCCGGUUGUAGCACAAAUUAACACAACAGGAGAUCCACAAGGAGAUCCUCUGAGGAGAGACUGGAAGAGACUCUGUCUACAAUCGCUACGAACAAUGGAGAUGAUGACCUAAAUGGUUUAGUCCUGUCCAGGUGAAACGCUAAGGAUUAGGAAAGAAAGUUUUUCAAUAUAGUGCCUGAUUGAUGUGGACGUGAGAUAUCACCUUAGUGAGAAACUUCGGAUGAGGGCGUGGGAAUAUCCUGUCCUUGCAAGAGACCAUAUACAGAGGUCCAGAAACUAGUGCUUGUAAUUCGCCCACUCUCCUAGCUGAGGUAACUGCAACCAAAAAGUCUGUCUUUAUGGAAAGAUGGAGCAAUAAACAGGUAGCCAAUGGUUCAAGAGGAGGACCCACUAGCUUUGUUAACACCACAUUUAAGGCCCAAGGGAGACCAGGGUCUUGUCCUUGGGGGUAUAACUGGUCCAAAUCCUUCAGAAAUCUAACUGGCAUAGGAUUGGAGAAAAAUGAUUAUCAAUUGGCGGGUGGGAAAGUGGAGAUAGCUGUUAGAUGGACCUUGAUGGAACUAAUGGUAAGACCUCGCUGUUUUGGGUAUAACAAAUAGUCCAAUACACGAUGGAUUGGAGCGUGGAUGGGGGGGAGGGGGGGGGCGAGACGACACUUUUUUGCUGGGACAAAAUGGAGACUCCCACUUUGCCAGGUAUGUAAACCGAAUAGAAGGCAUUCUACUAUUUACAAGUGCAUCUGGAACCCCCUUUGAACAAACUUCAUGAAGCCUUAGCCAUGGAGCACCCAAGCAGUCAGGAGGAGAGCCUCAGGUUGGGGUCGGAGGGCGACCGUGGUCCUGAGAGAUCAGGUCUGCAUCCCAUGGUAGUGGCAAUGGAACUGUGUAUGAGAGGAUCAGCAAAGUGGAAAAUCAAUGUUGCUGAGGCCAUGCUGGAGCUAUGAGUACGACUCACAGAUCCUGUGCUGCAGCAUAAGCCUCCAGAGUAGAUGGUACUAGGAUAGUCUCCUGUACCGUUAACUAAAUGGAGCCACUUCAGGGGCUGGUCUCAGUGAUGCCAGUGCUGAUGCCAGAGUCGACGGUCCCUCCUGAGCAGAUGAUUGCCUCAGAGACUUCCUCAGCCCUUGGGGGAGGGAUAGCUCAGUGGUUUGAGCAUUGGCCUGCUAAACCCAGGGUUGUGAGUUCAAUCCUUGAGGGGGCAACUUGGGGCAAAAAUCUGUCUGGGGAUUGGUCCUGCUUUGAGCAGGGGGUUGGACUAGAUGACCUCCUGAGGUCCCUUCCAAUCCUGAUAGUCUAUGAUUCAUGCACACUCUUGUAUCCUGGUCCACAUUCUUGCUGGAUCUUGAUCUAUUGGAACUAAUCCCUUAGAUGCCAUCUUUCAGUGCCUCUUCCUCUGUAGCGGGGAGGGUGACCAGCCCUGAGGAUCAGUCAAAAACCAGAGGAGCACUUCUGAUGGACACUGAUGUGCUCAGUACCUUCUCUGAGUGGAAAGUCUCCAAGGGGAAAUGCAGGACCAUCUCCAGCAGAAGAAACUUAAGCCCAGCCUUCCUUUCUUGGUUCUUGGCUUAAAGUUAUUGAAAAUUUGACACCAAUACCUGACAUGAGUCUCCCUGCGACACUUCAGGCAGGUGGAGUGCAGGUCACUCACUGACACUGGCUUCUUGCAGGAAUAGCAGGGAUUGAAACCCAGAGACCAAGGCAUUCCCCAUCACAAGUACCCAGCAACAGGAACUGAAGUGUUUAAAAACACUUUAAAAUAAAUUUAUUUCUAUAACUAACAAACAGUCUAAGGCAUUAAAACUUCUGAAACAAGUACCAACUAUCUACAAAUAUGGGGGGGAGGGGAGAGAAAUAUUUCAAUAGCUAGAUCACAUGUUCCAGCCACCAUCACAGGCAGUAAGAAGGAACUGAGGGAGGGCAAGGGUCGGCUCUGCCCUUCAUACCUUCAAGCUAUGGCGCAAGGCAGCAGAGGGGGCAUGUGCCACCCUGACAGGUACCACUCAGGGAAAAAUCUCCCACAGCUGUGCACUAGGCAUGCUCACACCUGAAAUGGAAUGGACAUGUGCAAUCACUCGAAUAACUAAAUUACCAGACCUGACCCCCGCACUGACCCAUUUAUCAACCAACCUUGACAUUUUAGCUUCCAUUUCUCAUCUUGAACAGGAGUAUAGAUCGCAAUUAUAAAUUAAAAUACCCAGUGUAGUAGAAAAACUAUCAUAUACCUUAUAUCAAUGACACUGAUGUGGUAGGAAGGGAGGAUAGAAAUUUGUGCAGUGCCUAUUAUUACAAUAUAUAGACUGCAAUACAAACCUGGGAAAUGAGCAAUGAGCAUUUUAUCUUUAUCUUGCAUAACAUGCAGAGAAUAUAUUGUAUAUGUAUUUAACAAACAGUUUUAUUUCCCAUCCUCCACCUUAACUUUCAGAGCAUUCCUUGUACUUGGGCGAUGGAGAAGUAAAACAUGAAAAAAAUGUUAAAAGCUAAAAGGUCAUUUAUAGCCCCUGCACAAUGUACAUCUGUACAGAGAUGUACAAGUUCAACAGAAACAGAAAAUAUUCCCUAUCCUUUGACCUUUAUUACAUAGGCUCAGCCAAUUGAGGAGUGGGAGAUAAGGAAGCUUAGUCACAAUUGAAUUAAGAUCCCUUCGAUGGUGGUUCUCACAGGCAUAGUCUCCCGCCAUGCUGGAUGAAUGUACAGUCUUUUCAUCCUCACAGCAUAAAAAUCAAAAUCAUCUUACCACUUACAGCCAGGUUCACAUCAUGGUGUAAUUUUAAGCAAAUAGGCAGCUAGGACAAUGGCUCUCAACCUUUCCAGAAUACUGUACACCUUUCAGGAGUCUGAUUUGUCUUGCAUACCCCAAGUUUCACCUCACUUAAAAACUACUUGCUUACAAAA